rnacentral:rRNA from 1 species
AUGGUGAAUUUUAUGAAGAAGCUUGCUAGGAUGGAUGUGGAUAUGAGUGCUAAAGAGAGGCAUUUAUUUUCAGUUGGUUUUAAGAAUACAAUUGGUGCAAGGAGGGCAUCAUGGAGAAUCCUUUCUUCACUUGAGCAAAAGGUGGCAGUGGGUGAGCAGGCUGGCCAGAUGAUAAGUGUUUACAGAAUGAAAGUUGAGGAUGAACUAAGGAUGGUUUGCAAUGAAAUAUUGUCAAUCAUCGCUAUUCAUUGCCUUCCCUUGGCUAAUGCGGGUGAAAACAUUGUGUUCUUUCAUAAAAUGAAAGGUGACUACUACCGUUACCUGGCUGAAUUUAGCAUUGGGGCUGAAAAGAAGUCUGCGGCUGAUCAAUCACUCAUGGCCUAUCAGCAUGCCAUGGUUAUCGCCUCCACUGAGCUUUCACCUGCUCAUCCAAUCAGGCUUGGCCUUGCGCUCAAUUUCUCAGUGUUCUUUUAUGAGAUAAUGAACUUUCAUCAGAGAGCUUGCCAAGUUGCAAAACAAGCAUUUGAUGAGGCUACUACUGAGAUUAAUUCUGCUGGUAUGGACGGCAACAACGAUAGCACACUAAUGAUGCAGCUUCUGAACGACAACCUAGCAUUAUGGAAGUCAGAACUAACUGAAGGUAAAGCCAUCAAAACUUUUUCGCAGGAAUCUACUACUUUACCCCUUGCUUUUUUUGAGGAAUCACCGCGGGGGGGGGGGGGGAUCCCCACCUGA